GUGUCAGCCGCCGCGGUAAUACGAAAGGGGCUAGCGUUGUUCGGAAUUACUGGGCGUAAAGCGCGCGUAGGCGGCCUUGCAAGUUGGGGGUGAAAUCCCGGAGCUCAACUCCGGAACUGCCUUCAAAACUGCAAAGCUAGAGGAUGCGAGAGGUGAGCGGAAUUCCGAGUGUAGAGGUGAAAUUCGUAGAUAUUCGGAAGAACACCAGUGGCGAAGGCGGCUCACUGGCGCAUUUCUGACGCUGAGGCGCGAAAGCGUGGGGAGCAAACAGGAUUAGAUACCCUGGUAGUCCACGCCGUAAACGAUGAGGGCUAGUUGUCGGGCGGCUUGCCGUUCGGUGACGCAGUUAACGCAUUAAGCCCUCCGCCUGGGGAGUACGGUCGCAAGAUUAAAACUCAAAUGAAUUGACGGGG
rnacentral:rRNA from 1 species